GUAGGUGGCAAGCGUUGUCCGGAAUUAUUGGGCGUAAAGCGCGCGCAGGCGGUUCUUUAAGUCUGAUGUGAAAGCCCACGGCUCAACCGUGGAGGGUCAUUGGAAACUGGAGAACUUGAGUACAGAAGAGGAAAGCGGAAUUCCACGUGUAGCGGUGAAAUGCGUAGAGAUGUGGAGGAACACCAGUGGCGAAGGCGGCUUUCUGGUCUGUAACUGACGCUGAGGCGCGAAAGCGUGGGGAGCAAACAGGGAUUAGAUACCCUGGUAGUCCACGCCGUAAACGAUGAGUGCUAAGUGUUAGGGGGUUUCCGCCCCCUUAGUGCUGCAGCUAACGCAUUAAGCACUCGCCUGGGGAGUACGGCCGCAAGGCUG
rnacentral:rRNA from 1 species